GCGACUCCUGGGUAAUGGCUGCUAAUGGUUCCUUAUGUGUUCUUCCGCCCGUACGCCUUUGCAUUUUCAACGUGUAUGCAUGUACCAAAAUUGAUGUAACUGGCCUCCAUUACGGGACAUUUAGGUUGUUUUCCAUUAUCUACUGCUGUAAAUAAUGCUGCAAAGAUCACCUUCAGAUUCAAAUAUUUCUGCAGGCAGCGUCUUAGAAAUGGGAUUGCUGGGUCACAGAGAACAUCCACUUAAAAUUUUUAAUGAACACUGCCAAACCGUCGUCAGGGAAGACUUCCAGCAAGUCUCGUACUGAUGUGGAAAUAUCUGUUCUCCUCCUUUGAAAGUGGGUCUGGAUCUUAAUUUGUCGCUGUGGCCCUGGCAUGUAGUAGGCUCAGUAAAUGCUUGCUGAGUGACCCUACGGGUUAUCAAGCCCUGGCUCUCUAUUUUCUCAGAAAAAAAGCAGCCCUUCUGCCCCUAAAAAAAGUCUACAAAGUCAAUCGUGAGACCAGACCUUGACCUGUUCCGUUUGGCGCUCUGGAUUGCGGAGCAUACCGAGGAGUCCUGGAUGGCAGAGCAGAUGCAACGGCACCCCUGAGCUGCCCUCAGGGGGUCCUCAGCCUUGGAGGAGGCAGGAGACCUGGGCUAUGGAGCCACUCACAGGCCCUACUGAGAACAACUUGGUGUCCAUCACAGUCCUCUUCAGAAUGCCCAGAAUAUGGGGAUAAGAAGGUGAAACCGGCAUGUUUAUUAACACAAUGGAAUAUUCUGUGGCCAAAUCAAAGGAAGACGUUGAGGAUUCUGGUGACACCUGGAAACGUACUGCUAAGGGAAAAAAGCAGGACCACAAUGUUAUGUGGAUAUUGACUGCGACUAUAUAUAAUGCCAGCGUGGACUUCUCAGAGAUGGAAUUUGGAGGAAUGUAAUACAGAUGCAAAUAGAGUUUUCCCCACA
rnacentral:lncRNA from 1 species